CUCUCAGUAUUAUUGUGUGCUCACUGUGUUUUCUUUAAUUAUAUGGAGUGGGAUUUUGUUCAAUUUCACAGUUGCACAAACAUGCAGCAAUUAUUCCUGAUAAGUGAUAACGAAUCACUGAACAUUAAAUAAGUGUGUUCUUGUGUGCGGGCAAGCAGGCACGCAUGUUUGUGCCUCUGCACCACGGACUUGAGCUCCAUGUCACAAACUGCUCAUGGACAUAGAAUUCCAAUUAGCGUUAAAUAUAACAAGAGCAACUGUUCUGCAUGGGUGUGUCACUGUGCAUCCAUAAUCCCAUCCAUAAUCCCAUCCAUAAUCAUAUUCACUGAUCACUUGUUUGUUUUGGCAGCACUGUGGCCUUGAGUCAUUUGUUUGUGUGUUUGGAUUGCAGUGCAAACAGUGUAGUAGGAGUUUUCAUUGAACAUGUUAAUCCUGCAAAUGGGAACUGGACAGAAACUGGAGAAGCUCCACCAGGAAAGGAGUGCAGUGGAUGGAAUGAGGGAGCAGACUCAUGGAUCUGUUGAAGACAGUAGCGUUUCUAUAGAAAAGAGCUGUGCAUGCACAGUAGCAAAAGCAAAGAGGCCUGAUUGGGAGUACUCCAUUGAUGCAACACACAGUGGCACAACAUAUUCUACUGAGGUUUGCACAGAAGCUCAGACAAGACCCCUGCAAAGACCCAGAUGUACAUCUAAACAGGGAUUUGCAUGACAGGUGGGAGAGGUCUUUGUUGUCAGCAUCAGCAGCCACAAGAGGAGCAUUAACUGUGAAGCUGCAGGUUCACCUGCAAGAGGGCGGGGAAUCGGCAAAUUGAGGUCAAAGCUACGCUCAAUGAGAAGACAGCAGAGGAGAAGACCUAGUUUUCGGUUAGCAGAGCAGAGAGCCGAGGGAGGAGGAGCAUCACUGCGAAAACCUUUGCCAGCAUUUGUCCAUCCAGCAGCCAGCAGUCAUGGCAGCUGGAUGGAGGUUCAGCUGAAGAGCUUGUCCUUGAAGUUACUUCACCCUUAAGAAGGCAAUUCUUGAAAUGGACAGACUGCAUCACUCCAAUGUGAGGGGCCUUUAACAUCUUAAUGAUUUUUUUUUUUCAAUCGUAUACACUACCUAUUUAAAGUAAAUAGUUCAACAAUUCUGUAAUACCAGACUAUAAAGGUGGAAUAUAAAUGUUUAUAAUGUUUGAUGUGUUUCUUUCCUUUCCUAGUCAGAAUGUCCUGAAUGACAUUUUUCGUGUUGUUAAGUUGAACAAAUUAUUGGCUUAAAGUAAUAAUAAUCUAUAUUUCAUGGUUAAGUUUCUUUACACUGUUUUCUAUAAAAGUGUAGCACUUUUGUUUGGAGUCACAAAAAGCAUCUUCUCCUAGAGCAAUAGACCCACAAGCCAAACUCCAAAAUCUUAAUGAGUGUACCCAGAUAGACAAGAAAUUGCAUCCAAAUAAAAGAAUAAUAAAGGCAUCUAAACCGUAACAAGUCUGCCUUUGUUCUUCCACUCCACCCACCACAAGCAGGCAUUGUUGCAGCUUUGAGGGCAGCUCUGAGAGUUCCAUGCCCAUCGGCCUUCAAUCACAUGGGAUGUCUGAGUUUGACAGUAUAAAGUCUUUCUUCUAGAAUAAAAUAUAACCCCUAAGCAAUAGUGGAUGAGCUGUUAGUAGCCAUGCAGUCCACAGGGAUCUAGACCAAGCAUGGUAGUACAGUAUACACAAAGUGCUGGUUAGGGAUAAGACAAUGGACCAGUAAAAACAUCACUCGAUGCCGCAACACUUAAAUUUCUCACCAUUUGCUUCUGUUAGCAAAUAUUUUUGUUUCAAUGGUAAUAUUUAAGUUGGCUUCACCAAAAUUAAAAAAUAAAUAACGCUCUUUAAAAAAGUUAGUCUGUUUAAAGGUAAUUUCAUUACUAUAAAAGUAUUAAAACACCCUCUUUAAAAAAAAAAAACAAAAAAACCUUCACCCACCGAAACUGAAUCUUCUACCGUAGUCCUGCACCGCUCAGUCAUUCCAAACCGAUUGUGUCCAUCUUUCCUUUGAUUUGUCAGAGAGCAUCAUUGAGGAUGCAGCGUGAGCUCGAAUAGAUUUUCCUUGGUAAGAUUUUCACUCACUGGCAAUAUGGAAGGUUUCACUCCUGCUUUACACCAAGAGGACAUCAUCAGUUCUUGUCUUGGUCAAAUCAAUGGACAACAUUCUUUCCAGCAUAGCGGUCAAUAUGCAACGCUUAAGGUGUCUGAGGAAACUAAAGAAGACCAAUAAUUGUUAUUAAUAACAUGGAUCUCCCAAAGGAUUGUAUUUACAGGCUUUCAAAUGUAACUAUAACAUGCACAUAACCUACAAAGGUCCUGUCGCCCUGUCUGUGAAUAUCUGUGUGCAGGAAUGUCAACACCGCAAAUGGACCAAUUAUAUAGUAAUUGUGUUUUUACACAAAGAGGAACUCAAACAUCUAGCCAGUGCAUUCAUGGCCACUUGAAGAUGCUCACAUGUAUGAGUUCAUUUGUCCAUUGAUUUGGUUCGAGAGGACCUUUUGUGCUUUUGAUUCAUUUUUC
ensembl:lncRNA